UCCAGACUCCUACGGGAGGCAGCAGUGAGGAAUAUUGGUCAAUGGGCGGAAGCCUGAACCAGCCAAGUCGCGUGAGGGAAUAAGGCCCUACGGGUCGUAAACCUCUUUUGCCGGGGAGCAAGGGCCGGGACGCGUCCCGGCCCGGAGAGUACCCGGCGAAAAAGCAUCGGCUAACUCCGUGCCAGCAGCCGCGGUAAUACGGAGGAUGCGAGCGUUAUCCGGAUUUAUUGGGUUUAAAGGGUGCGUAGGCGGGGAGGCAAGGUCGGGGGUAAAAUGCGGGGGCCCAACCUGCGUCCGCCGUUGAAACUGGCGUUCUUGAGUGGGCGAGAAGUACGCGGAAUGCGUGGUGUAGCGGUGAAAUGCAUAGAUAUCACGCAGAACCCCGAUUGCGAAGGCAGCGUACCGGCGCCCGACUGACGCUGAAGCACGAAAGCGUGGGUAUCGAACAGGAUUAGAUACCCGCGUA
rnacentral:rRNA from 1 species